rfam:Colletotrichum fioriniae PJ7 Scaffold_600.1, whole genome shotgun sequence.
GGGCGUUUAGCUCAGUGGUAGAGCGCCCGCUUUGCAUUCACCUAGUGUCUGCGGGAGGCCCAGGGUUCAAUCCCCUGAUCGUCCA